UUAAGUAGAGACAAUUAUUUGACAGAUGCCUUAGUGAAAAAGCAAGCCUACACACGACUGCCCAAAGAGCGCGCCAAGAAAACGGGAAAUUACGAACACCAGUAGCAAAACUGCAAAUCGGGCGUCGAACAAUUUCAAGCCAACUGCGCUGGUGAGCCUAUCAAAAUCCAAAAAAGAAAUGUCAUGCUCGUCCUACUGUACAUUUAUAAAAGCGGAUGUCCAUGCCGUCUACACCACUGAUGCGUGUGGAUUAUCCAGGUUUAGAAUUUUUUUUCAAGAACUCUGCUCAGGAAAAAUGGUGAUAAUAUCUGAAAUACCUCUAUUUUGGUCAGUACUUAAAAAUUGUAACCAUAUAAUAGUUCUACUAGAAGCACGGCGCUGCUGAAGUUGGACUGAAGUCUCAUCCUCAGAAUAACGAGAAACGCGCUGGGUAGCUGGACUUCCCUGCAGUUAAAAUUCAUCUGUUCAGUGCAUUCUCGUGAAAUGCUUAUUUAAAUUUUGUACAUAAAUUUUGAGAUUGGAAGAAAGUUUUAAGAAAAUAAAACUACAUCGCGCACACUUCGCUAUGAAGUAUUGGCUAGCCCAUUAUUUAGGAAAGUCACUGCUGAAUUGUGGCGAUGUGGUCAAACCACCCGAACCGUGACUGAAAAGGGCGUUAAUGCUUAAAUAACAGAAAAGAAGAAAAGUUACAAUAACCUCGUAAAGCCCGUGAUCUAUUGUUUUCCACCUGGGACAGGAAUGCAUGCAUUCUCGGUAAGCUCUGAGGAUCUUCGUGCAGUAGAACAGAGGGACCCUGGAGCAACUGGAGACUCCUACAGUGACGAAACACCUUUGAACCGCUGCCAAGAUCGCUCACCAGGAUCCUCUCAAGUACAUUACACAUCACAUGCUCAAAAUCAGGAAAUUGAUGAGGGGGAGGGCAAAUCAUUCAGACUAAAAAGUGUUGACUUUUUUUUGUUUAAAUUGGAAUGUUUGACGCACCUCUUGGAAGUGAGUAGACUGUGCCUGAGUAUCGGAGAGUACAAACUGUGGCUGACGUUGGGGUGAAUCCGUGCUCAGUCUCCAACAAUAGAGAGGGUGCAGGUGAAAAUAAAAGACAUGGGACAAUGCAGGCAGCUGUAGACUGAAAAGCAAUCCUCUGGUUGAUGCUGUUUCUCAAUACCAAGUUUUACGUAUACCCUGUCAUUCAAACACAGCUAGCUUUACCUGCCAUUUUUCCUUUUCUCUGGUGCUCUGCUUUAUUCAGAUUCAAUAAAUCUGACUGUCAACAGCCUCUUUUGGUAAAUGCUCCUUCUGUAAACAAGUAGUGCAUGAAAGAGGAGAAUAGGGAACUUUUAGCGUGCAUUCAGAGCCUCCGCUCUUACAUGUUGUCUGCCACGUUUGUGUCAACCGCAAGCUUUUU